AGAGGUAUAGCCAAGCGGUAAGGCAUCGGGUUUUGGUCUCGACAUUCCUAGGUUCGAAUCCUAGUACCUCUG
rnacentral:tRNA from 1 species